AAGGCUGAUUUGAAGAAGUAUAGUCAUGAGCAAGAGUUUGAAAAAAAAAUUCUUGAGUUAGAACAAGAGAAGAAAUUUUUGCAGAAAGAAAUUGAGGAACUUAGGUACAAUCUUGCAAAUAUUUCAUCCACCUCUGAUGAUGGUGCUCAAAAGUUAAAGGCGGAAUAUCUUCAGAAGUUAAAUGCUCUUGAGGCACAGGUCUCUGAGUUGAAGAAGAAACAAGAAGCUCAGGCUCAUCUGUUGAAACAAAAACAGAAAAGUGAUGAGGCUGCAAAACGACUUCAGGAUGAAAUCCACAGAAUUAAAUCUCAAAAGGUUCAAUUGCAACA